UGAUUGUCCUGAGAUUGCGUGACUGCUGGGCAACUCCUGUGCCAGCCCCUGACCAUGAGGUGCAGUGGAGUCUCCUGGUGGAUGGGUGCCCCUAUGAGGGUGAUGACUACCUGACUGUCCUACACCCAGUAGAUGCCUCUUCUGGCCUGCAGUUCCCAACCCGUCACAAGCAGUUUGAAGUGAAGACCUUUGUUUUCUUGGAUGGUGUGUCUGAGCAGCCCCUCUCCGAACAGGUGGACUUGCAUUGCAGUGCUGAGGUUUGCUCUCCCUCUGGUCAGGAUGACUGUGCACCCAGAUGUGGUCCAAGUGAGUUCCUCCUGUGGAAGGCCAGCAGUGUUUUAAAUGGCCUUACUGAGAAAGUAA